ACACUAACACACGCACACUACCACCCAUCCUUUCUCCAAUGAUCCACAUAUUCCUUUAUUAUGAGCCAUUCAUCCAUAGCUAAUGUAAACCACAUAUUUCCAAAUGAAAAUCAGAAUUGGAUUCAGAAAAUCAGAGAAAGAAAGAUCGAGAGAGAGCAAGACACAGAGGGAGAAAGGGGAAAAACGGAAACAGAAAGGGAGGAAUGAAGAUCAGAACUCACGGAAGGAAGAAGGCUUCGAUCUCACCAUCUUCGUACACCCAUGGCUGCUACUAUUAUCAAUCGAAACUACUGCGCACAGAGAGAAGAAAAGAGCGACGAACUGGGAGACGCGUUGCUUCUGUUGACAUUUAUUGGAGUUGUCGCGCGUAGAAGAGAGGUUACCGCCGAUUCCGCCCAGGAUCAUCAUCGCCGCCGCUACCAUUGAUGAAAGUCGGCGCCAUCGAAGGGGCCUCUGGUGAGAGGAACCCUAACUGUCAUCGAUACCAUCGAACAGGGCAGGAAGGGGAGGAGUGACGUGAUGAAAGAAGAGAGUCGUUCUGCCACUGAUGCACUUGCUAGUGCUAUUGAGGAAGUCCGCCAUCCGAGAAGCAUCAUCCGCGUUGUUGCUGUGAACUAUUUCAGCCCUGCCCUGGAAAAAUGCCCAAAAAUGUUUUUGUUUUCGUCUAGCCAUCAUUAUCGCGAUUAUUGAUGACAUUGCUGCUACAGAGAGUCAUUGGCAUCACUGUUGCGGUUGCUGCCACGAAUUAGGAAUAAAGGGAAUUGCUGUGUUAGAUUCAUUACGACAUCGAGAGUUGUAGAAUUAUUGGACAUCAUUUGGUAGCUCGUUGACGCGCUCAGAGUUGCUUCCGGUUCUUUGGAAUCAAGUUGUGAGUGGAUAUUAUGUCUAUAAUUGUUUUUAAAUAUAUUAUUAUCAAUAUUUAUGUUGAAUCAUUAUUUUUGUAGUUUGAAAAUAUCUGAUUAUUGUGAUUUUUGAAUUUUUGAAAAUAAAUAUAGAUUUGUGAAACUUAUAAUUUUAUAAAAAUACACACGAGACGAUAUUUAUAUAUUUUGUAAAGUAAACAUGUUUUCUUAUUUGACUUUAUUGAAUUUUAAAUAAAAAUUUUAGUAUGAAAUCUUAUAUAUAUUGGAUUUACUAUGGAAUUUAGUAGUAUAUUAUAUGUAUUAGAGAUUUUUAUAAGUGAUUUGGUUUUGAUUGGUUUGGGAGACUCUGACUAGAAAACCGUAGUUAACGGCGGUUAUGACGUUAACCUAGAUGCAUCUGGCUCAGACCUCAGCUAGCAGGGGCAUUGCUAGCCUAACAUGUAGGCCACACAUUGGAUCUGUUAUACCGUACAGGCACACUAGAGGAAAGGGCUACCCUUAGAGGUGGAGCCGCCCUAGGUGUGUAAUAUUUGAUUUUAUUUGACUUCUAGAAUGAGAACUCCCAUUUCAGUUCAUCCGCUUAACUACUUAUUUAUUUGUUUGCAUGAUAAACCCCAUUUGUAGGGUUUAUCUUGUAUUGAUUUUAGGAGAUUUUAAUACUUUUUACCCACAUUUAUUCAAUGAAUUAGCAUGAUUUUGUGAUUGUGUCCUUAUUUGUGCUUAAAUGUGAAAACAUGCUUUUUAGGCCUUUAACUUGAUGAUUUUAAUCUCCCUUUGAUUCCACUAGAUGCCUUGAUGUGUUUGUUAGUGAUUUCAGAUUGAAAAGACUAGGAAUGGAUCAAAGUAGUGAAGAGGAAAGCAUGCAAAGUGGAGAAAUCAUGAAAAGCCAAAGAGUUGAACUCGCCCAUGGACCCGUGCGCGCACCUGGCGCUUACGCGAGCCUUGCAAAUCACCCCAUGGACGCAUACGCGUACUGUGCGUGUACCCGUCGAUGCUGGUUUAUGGUUUUUUUUAAUGAAAACGUGGCCAACGAAUUCAGAAGGGUUGUGGGGCCCAAUCCUAACCAACUUUGGCGCCAAAGAUGCUAUUUAAAGCCAAUGAUUGAAGAGCAAAGGGACUUUUAAUCAUUCACACUUAUUAGGAUUAGUUUUAGUUAGUUUUAGAGAGAGAAGCUCUCACUUCUCUCUAGGAUUAGGAUUAGGAUUAGGUUUAGUUCUUAGAUCUAGAUUUAAAUUCAUGCUUUCUUCUACUUUUACCUUUCAAUUCUUUGUUGUUACAUUCAUCAUUCUUCCAUUCUUUUGUUGUAAUUUCCUUUAUGUUGUUCUUAUACUUUGUUGUAGAUAUACUUUUGUUC